rnacentral:rRNA from 1 species
CCUACGGGAGGCAGCAGUGGGGAAUAUUGGGCAAUGGGCGCAAGCCUGACCCAGCAACGCCGCGUGAAGGAAGACGGCUUUCGGGUUGUAAACUUCUUUUGACCGGGAAGAGUAGAGGACGGUACCUGUCGAAUCAGCCACGGCUACCUACGUGCCAGCAGCCGCGCUAAUACGUAGGUGGCAAGCGUUGUCCGGAUUUACUGGGUUUAAGGGGCGUUUAGGCGGGUUGACAAGUCAGAUGUGAAAUCCUGCGGCUUAACCGCAGAACUGCAUUUGAAACUGUUGAUCUGGAGUACUGGAGAGGUAGACGGAAUGCGUGGUGUAGCGGUGAAAUGCGUAGAUAUCAGGAGGAACACCAGUGGCGAAGGCGGUCUGCGGGACAGCAACUGACGGUGAGGCGCGAAAGCGUGGGGAGCAAACAGGAUUAGAUACCCUGGUAGUC